rnacentral:rRNA from 1 species
CACGAACGCUGGCGGCGUGCCUAAUACAUGCAAGUAGAACGCUGAAGGAGGAGCUUGCUUCUCUGGAUGAGUUGCGAACGGGUGAGUAACGCGUAGGUAACCUGCCUGGUAGCGGGGGAUAACUAUUGGAAACGAUAGCUAAUACCGCAUAAGAGUAGAUGUUGCAUGACAUUUGCUUAAAAGGUGCAAUUGCAUCACUACCAGAUGGACCUGCGUUGUAUUAGCUAGUUGGUGGGGUAACGGCUCACCAAGGCGACGAUACAUAGCCGACCUGAGAGGGUGAUCGGCCACACUGGGACUGAGACACGGCCCAGACUCCUACGGGAGGCAGCAGUAGGGAAUCUUCGGCAAUGGACGGAAGUCUGACCGAGCAACGCCGCGUGAGUGAAGAAGGUUUUCGGAUCGUAAAGCUCUGUUGUAAGAGAAGAACGAGUGUGAGAGUGGAAAGUUCACACUGUGACGGUAUCUUACCAGAAAGGGACGGCUAACUACGUG